rnacentral:misc_RNA from 1 species
GAUGAAGAACGCAGCGAAAUGCGAUACGUAAUGUGAAUUGCAGAAUUCAGUGAAUCAUCGAAUCUUUGAACGCAUAUUGCGCUCUCUGGUAUUCCGGAGAGCAUGCUUGUUUGAGUAUCAGUAAACACCUCAACUUCCAUAUCUUUUUUGAAAUGGGAGUUGGACUUGAGUGAUCCCAACGCUUUUCCUCACCGAAAAGUGGCGGGUUACUUGAAAUGCAGGUGCAGCUGGACUUUUCUCUGAGCUAUAAGCAUAUCUAUUUAGUCUGCCUAAAAAACAUAUUAUUACCUUUGCUGCAGCUAACAUAAAGGAGAUUAGUUCUUGUGCUGACUGAUGCAGGAUUCACAAAGACGGCUUCGGCCGACUUUGUAAACUCGAUCUCAAAUCAAGUAAGACUACCCGCUGAACUUAAGCAUAUCAAUAAGCGGAGGA